GACGAACGCUGGCGGCGUGCUUAACACAUGCAAGUCGAACGGAAAGGCCCUGCUUGCCGGGUACUCGAGUGGCGAACGGGUGAGUAACACGUGGGUGAUCUGCCCUGCACUUCGGGAUAAGCCUGGGAAACUGGGUCUAAUACCGGAUAGGAGCCAUUUUUAGUGUGAUGGUUGGAAAGUUUUUUCGGUGUAGGAUGAGCUCGCGGCCUAUCAGCUUGUUGGUGGGGUAAUGGCCUACCAAGGCGGCGACGGGUAGCCGGCCUGAGAGGGUGGACGGCCACAUUGGGACUGAGAUACGGCCCAGACUCCUACGGGAGGCAGCAGUGGGGAAUAUUGCACAAUGGGCGCAAGCCUGAUGCAGCGACGCCGCGUGGGGGAUGACGGCCUUCGUGUUGUAAACUCCUUUCGCUAGGGACGAAGCUUUUUGUGACGGUACCUAGAUAAGAAGCACCGGCUAACUACGUG
rnacentral:rRNA from 1 species